rfam:Gossypium hirsutum cultivar TM-1 chromosome 20, whole genome shotgun sequence
UGUUAAAAACUUCAUCCAUUUGUACUGUUAAAAAAUUGACAUGGCUAAUUUUAAUGUACAGGGAUCAGUUUUUAAUAAUAGAAAUAGAUAGAGUUUUUAACA